AACGAACGCUGGCGGCAUGCCUAACACAUGCAAGUCGAACGAGACCUUCGGGUCUAGUGGCGCACGGGUGCGUAACGCGUGGGAACCUGCCCUUAGGUUCGGAAUAACUCCCCGAAAGGGGUGCUAAUACCGGAUAAUGUCUUCGGACCAAAGAUUUAUCGCCUUUGGAUGGGCCCGCGUUGGAUUAGCUAGUUGGUAGGGUAAAAGCCUACCAAGGCGCCGAUCCAUAGCUGGUCUGAGAGGAUGAUCAGCCACACUGGGACUGAGACACGGCCCAGACUCCUACGGGAGGGAGCAGUGGGGAAUAGUGGACAAUGGGCGAAAGCCUGAUCCAGCAAUGCCGGGUGAGUGAUGAAGGCCUUAGGGUUGUAAAGCUCUUUUACCCGGGAUGAUAAUGACAGUACCGGGAGAAUAAGCUCCGGCUAACUACGUG
rnacentral:rRNA from 1 species